GUAAUUUGGUUUUAUUUUCCAAUUUAAUUCAUUUACAUUAGUAAGACUCUUACUUCUAAUUGUUUAAUUCUAAUUCUUAGCAACUAAUAGUUUUUUCAAAGAACAUAUUUCUUAUAGUUAUUAUAAUUAGAUAAUUUGGCAGGCCAGCCCAGCCUAUCUAUGGACUCUAAAACUAUCCGCAACUUGCGUUAUCUAAAAAAGAUCUCUUGCCUGGUAAAAUGGAAAAAUCCAGGAUCUAUUCCUACUGUUUAUGUAUGGGACACAUUGCUUUUAUUACUAUGGCAGAAUCGUAGUAUGGCUUAGUUACUCAUGACGGAUAACACCGUAUAGAUUUCAUUCAAUAAAAUUUGCGAUCCAACAGAAAAUGAUGCGAGAGAAUUAUGAGAGCAGUGGCAAAUAGACGAUAUAGAUAAAUUGAGGGGAAAUAAGAGAAAGGGUCAAAUAGUUAUUCGAAGUGAAUGAGACCAAUGAUAUUAGAAUGGCGACCUCAAGUAAAGUUGUCGUUUGUUGGAAGGUUUUCUCAAGCAAAGCGACCCUACAAAUGCCAGUUAAGGAAGAAAAAGCCAUGUCAGUGUGCUUGUAUACUUGGUGCAAAGUUUUUUAUGUGUAUCGGGUGUUGAAAAUUUGAAAUAAAAAUUUUAUCCAGUACCUUUUUUACAAACAAUUGCCUUCCGUGCCAUCCUGCCCGUGAUAUUAUUUAUAUAGACAUUAAUACGUGCAUAAAAUCAAGUCUAUCUAUUUUUGUGUUAAAAAUCUUUGGCUAACAGUAUUGAAUGCCACACCGGAUUACUUACAUCUCGCACUACUGGUACCGCACGAAGCACGAUAUAAUAUUUGGGAGGAGCAAGGUAGGACAAAAAAAUAUAGUUUGCUAUUUAUCAAAAUCAAACGCAAGAUAAGAAAGGCCACAAACAUUUCCGACGUCCAAUAAUAACGUCCGACGUAAGAACGUAAGUCUUCGCAGAGACGUAUUUUGGUGUUGCCCAUGCCUUUACUGUUUGCCUUGUGGAACAUUGUUUGUCCACAGCUGGGCAUGUCCAAUUAGAUGUCUAAGGUCACAUAUGCACACACACGUUGUAAUUGAACCUGUGUUUUUUGUAUACACGAUAGUGGUCUUUACACAUAGAAGCACAGAGAUGCCAAAGAAAUAUGAUCCACAAUAACAACACUCCUAAAUUAUAAAAUAUUUUGAUUGCGGACGAUUCUUCCUCAAUAACCAUACAUUGAUGUUGAAUUUUAUAUUGUAUUUACUGUAUGUUAUCCUUUAUGUAGAUAAAUUUUAGCUUAUUCAUAUGUAUUUUUUUUUUUAAUUAAUUGACUUUCAGACUUUUGGAGAUAGGGUCUACAAAGUUGUAUCGUAAAGUUCAUCAAUUCAUUGUGUUUGUUGUAACCGAAUUUACAGGCCUGGACUAAGAGAGCUCACUUAGGUAGGGAAGUGAAGGAGGUUUUUCAGUUUUUGUUUAAUUUACCCGUUUGGGUUUUAUAAUGACUUUGUAGGGUCUAAUUCUUAAAGUAAAGACAGUAAAUAAUUUUUUUUUGGUAUUAAUUUUCCUUUUUUUAUUUUUUUGUGUGAUUUUUUGUAAAACGAUUAA